rnacentral:lncRNA from 1 species
UCUCAAACUCCUGACCUCGUGAUCCGCCGGCCUCUGCCUCCCAAAGUACUGGUGCAUAUUCUUUUUCUGUCUUUCCUGCUACUCCCUCUUGCUCUUCCCACCCCUAAACUAUGUAGCCUCAAAGAUCUUACCUGGCUGACUGCUGGGCUUUCAAGAUAGUUUCUGGAAGAAGUCUCUAAAUCUAAGCCUUCAACUCUCAUCUCUGUUCUGAAUUUCAGACCUGGAAUUCUAACUGUCCACAAUACAUGGCUCCUCAAUAUAUCUUCCUGAAAUUACAAAUGACCAUACGGUACAGGUGUUACUAUAUUACCUGUAAGACCACACUCGGUGUCAUCUCCUGCAAACUAGUCCUCUCCUGACUCCUCUGUUUCUGUGAGUGAUUCUGCGAUGGCUUGAGGUCAUCCGUUUGCUUUGAAAGAUCACACACCAGGAUACAUACAGAGAUGUGACCCGGAUGGAUGGACCUUUGCCUCACAAUCAGGGUAGAAGCCUCUGGUUUUCUUAUUUCUUUGUCCUCCUCUGUGGUGUGACACAGGUUCAGGAGGAGGUACCCAGACACAGAAGAGAUGCUUUCCCUGUGCAGGCUUGCUGACAGUCUUGCCCACCACUCCUGGCCUCCUCCCUCUACAUGUCCACAUUCGCUGCUCUGACCCUGAGUUGGACCCAGCUAGGAAUUGUGACUUCAGUUACUAGUAUUUCCUCUGAGCCUCUAGUCAUGGUCAUGGGCUAAUCUGUAUAUGAAAACCCACUUGAAAGAAAUCCCAGUGCUGAAGAAAGAAUUGAAACAUACAGAUCGUUUCUUUGCUCAAGGGAGUGUGGAUUUCAGUGCUCUCACUGAGCAGAGGCUGAGGGUGACCACCUUGGAUCUUCCUGCAGGACACAGCCCAGAGAAACUGAGCCUGAAUUUGCUGCCAUGUUUUGAGGACAUUAUCCACGCUAGUCUCUUUCAUCUGGGCCGAGCACCGCCUUACUCCUCCCAGACACAGAAGCAUAGGAGGCCAGGGGAGCAGCCUUUUUCCAGGAAGACAGGUCGGACUUCAGGCUUGAGGGUUAGAGUUUGCAGUUGCUGUUCCUAGUGGCUGCUUCUUGGAGAAGACAGUGAUCCCAGAUAGAGGCCUGGGAUGACCAUGAGGGAUUUUGCAAGUAUUAUCUGAAAACCAACAGUAUUUUGUAUUUUAUGUGCAACUGUCUUCUGAUGUUCACUUUCCCACUUUGCUCUAUAGUUCUGUACAAGUCUCGUUUCUUAAGCUGUUUUUUGUUCGUUUGUUUGUUUUUGUUUUUUUUCCCCUUGGGAGCUGGGAGGAGUCCUUUUGGGUUCAUCUUGUUUUCUCCUGGUGCCUACCAAAGGGAAACGUUCAUAGCAGGUAGUUCAUAAAAGACUUCUGAAUAAAUGAAUGAAUGAGUGAAUCAACUAAUGUAAGGGCUAUAGCAGAAUCCUCAUGCCCCAGCCUAUACUAACUGUGGCUAGCUGGCUGUCCUCUGGUUUCUGCCCCAUCCUGGAAUUUUUUGGAAGCCUGGCUUUAGCUCGGCAAGCUGAGUCAGGACCCAAGCUCCCAUCAGGCAGGGUGGGGCACCAGAAGCCGAGCCACUCCCACCCCAAACACAGAGCAGAUUCCAAAUAUGGAAAUAUGGUGUUUGCCUGAUGGAAAAUUCCCGGGGAAACUUUGGAGAAAGAGGGCUUCAUACCUAAACCAGUCAGAUGAGGCCCUCAAUGCUUGUCACUGACCUGGGUCACUACUGCGUCACAGCGUUGAGCUGGACAUUUUUCUGGCUCAAGCCAUGCAUUUUACAGUUGAGGUAAGUGAGCAGUCUCCUGGGGUCGCCAGAAGGGAAGGGACAGAAAUCCGGUCACAACCCUACACUCCAGGUCUGGGCCCUUUUAGCAAUAUCCCUCAGCCAAUCUCUCCCAGGGGGAAAACAAAGGCAAUAACCAGGGGCCGUGUUAUUAUGAUAUGAUAACUAACAAAAGUUUAAUAACACCAACCAGUUCAGCCCCUGGAAUAACAGACCAGGCCGACCCUUUCCCGCUGCCUCAGCAAAGAGGGUGUUUCUAGGGAAGAAAUGGCUAUACUUUGCAAGUAAACACUUUCAUCACCUUCAUGACGACAAGAGCUCCAGGCCUUGUUCCUGCCUUCUUUCUUCCUCCUUGUCUGUUUCUCUUCCUUGUUUUCCUCCGGUGGGGAAAUGAGUUUCCAUUCUGACCAAGCUCAUCUGUUUUAAGGAUAAUUUCUUUCCCGCUGCAGUUAAGUCUUCUGGGUGCUCUCAUUUCCCCAGGGGGAUGGAUAUAUGUGGGGGUAUUAAUGCUACCCACAGCUGGGGGCCUCCCCACUGGGUUCCUCUAGGAGGUGAGGACAGGGGAAUGAUGUGACUUUGGGGGGAGGAUGAGAGGGCCUGGACUGUGAGGUCCCAAUCUGUGCUCCUAGCAAGGGCUGUCUGUGGCUGUCAGUGAAGCUUGCUACCAGGCCCCCAUCUCCAGCAAAAAAAAGCAAACAAACAUAAAACAAACAAAAAAGACGGUAUUUAUAAAUGAACUUGUCUCUCACUGGGGCGGCUCCGGGCGUCUGGGCAGUAGGCGGAUAAGCCUGCGCCCACGAGGUCGUGUUCAGGAGCAGGAGCUCGGGCUCCUGAAACUGGAGGGGAGGGUGCCUUGUCUGGGGGAGGUGCCUUGGCUUCAGGGAGGGUGCCUUGGCUGUGGAGAAGGCAGGAGAGAGUCUGACGGGAAGAAGACCAUGGAGGAGGAGGGGAAGUGGGGGGGUCUCGGAGGGGGUAGGGGAGGGAGGCGCGGUGGGGGGGUGUUGGCUUCAUGCUGUUACUAGUUUGAUUUAUCCCUAAUGAGUUCUCAGCACAUGGCUGCUCCCGGCUCACUCCAGGGGCCAGCCGGCCCGCCCCGACUCUGCAGCAACAGCAGCAGCUCGCUCAGAAAAGAGCCAAUUUCCACACUGCACAGUCCGCUUCACUCAGGGGGAAAUCACAUUUCCCCGGGAGAGCCGCAGGCAGCGCUUCCCUCCACAGCCUGGCUGGCUGCCACCGGGCACAGAUGCCAAGGAGCUGGGUCCCCCACCUCCCCUUCCCUCCCCAUCCAAAGCCCCUCUUGCCACCUUCCAGGAGGCCUGAGCCCCUCCACCGUGGGCCUUAGCCCCUGCUGCUUCUCAAGGGUAGGAGAAAGAGCGAGGUCAGGGGAAGGAGAGACCUGUCCGCCCUGUCUGCCUGCUCCAGCUUCUUGCAGGAAGGAGAACCAGGCACCCUCCUUCUAUGUGAAGGGCAUGGAGAUGUAGGGAUGGGGUUGGUGACAGUGGUGUGUGCCUAUGAGAGUGGGGACUCGUGGGGACAGGCGUCUGCCACCCAGGAGGUAAUGACCUCCAGCGUCUGUGUCCCAGUGGUCCCCAAAGAGCCGCAGGAGCUGUAGACAGUAAUGAGAAGAGCAAGAAGCCAAGGAGAGGGCCAUGGGGCGAGGGCGAUGGGGAGAGGACAAAGGGGAGAGGGAGAUGGGGAGAGGGAGAAGAGGGGAGGGUAAUGGGGAGAGGGAGAAGAGGGGAGGGUGAUGGGGAGAGGGAGAAGGGGAGAGGGUGAUGGGGAGAAGGUGAUAGUGAGAGGGCACUGGAGAGAGGGAGGAAGGAUGCUUCCUGGCAUUUCCUGAGGAGGUCAGGGACUCCGAGCUCUCCCCAAACAUUCCCUGUCUCUUUCCCUCAUUCAUAGCCCUGGAGACACGAAUGUCUCUCAAACAGUCGGGAAAGGAAUAAUUGCUGUAGACUCAGUAGAAAAGGAAAAAAACUAGAAAACUAGAAGAAGUGAACAAAGGAAGGAGAUAGAGGUGAGAGAGAGGGAGUUUCUUCCAUGAGAACCAUAGCCAUGGCGGCUCGGUCACUUGGCGUCAGAAGGUAGCACAGCAGCCUGGGGCAGAGGAGCCACCAGCUCCUUUAUGGAACAUGGAAGGCUUUAUGACCUUAAAGGUUAGAGAGGGGCUGCCAAAGGGCACCCUGAAGGGAGAUUUAGGGCCAAGGAUGGAGGGAAGUCUGAGAUCAGCCUGGCACAAAUCUGCCUGGUCCCAGUGCUUCUUCAGUUGAGCUCUGGGCCUUGCGUCCAGUCACGCUUUGCAGGGAGGGGCAGCAGAAGUCACUGUGCCCCAACUGGCCAAGUGACUUCUGCCGCCCCUCCCUGCAAAGCAAAGAGUGUCUGACAUCUCUCAGAAGCCUGGCCAUAUCCAGAUAUCUGAGGCCUGACAAUAGGAUGCAGACUAGGCCUUGGAUUAGGGGUAAGGCUGUGGUCCCUGCUCCUCUGCUGACUCGCUGAAUGACCUUGAAAAAGUCAAGUUAUCUCUUGGUCUCAGAUUCCCCAAGUGCAAAAUAAAAGGGGGCCAAUAUUCAGAAUCAGAGAUGUAAAUGGAUGUGAAUGGGCUUUGUAUGGAAAAAGAAACUAAGCCUGUGGAGAGGGUUAUUACCACUUCUGAGGCUGAGGCAGGACAGAGAUGCUGUUAAGCUGUGGGUGCAGGAGCUGCCUAGGAGGGAGCUCAAUCCCUCCCUCCCCGCGGCCUCCCUCAGUCCUGAUUGACAGGACUGAUGCUGACGCCCAGGCCCAGUAGUAAUGGCGUUGAGGUCUGCAGUCCCCUUCCUCUGGUGCCCACCCCCAGAGGACAAGGAAGUGUGAAUUAUCUUAAAGAAGGCUCAUGGGUUUUUGUUUUGUUUUUGUUUUUUUUUGAGAUAGAGUUUUGCUCUGUCACC